UGCUAUACAUGCAAGUCGAACGCUUCUUUUUCCACCGGAGCUUGCUCCACCGGAAAAAGAGGAGUGGCGAACGGGUGAGUAACACGUGGGUAACCUGCCCAUCAGAAGGGGAUAACACUUGGAAACAGGUGCUAAUACCGUAUAACAAUCGAAACCGCAUGGUUUUGAUUUGAAAGGCGCUUUCGGGUGUCGCUGAUGGAUGGACCCGCGGUGCAUUAGCUAGUUGGUGAGGUAACGGCUCACCAAGGCCACGAUGCAUAGCCGACCUGAGAGGGUGAUCGGCCACAUUGGGACUGAGACACGGCCCAAACUCCUACGGGAGGCAGCAGUAGGGAAUCUUCGGCAAUGGACGAAAGUCUGACCGAGCAACGCCGCGUGAGUGAAGAAGGUUUUCGGAUCGUAAAACUCUGUUGUUAGAGAAGAACAAGGAUGAGAGUAACUGUUCAUCCCUUGACGGUAUCUAACCAGAAAGCCACGGCUAACUACGUGCCAGCAGCCGCGGUAAAAAAAAUUUUUUUC
rnacentral:rRNA from 1 species